UACAGAGGGGGCAAGCGUUGUUCGGAAUUACUGGGCGUAAAGGGCGCGUAGGCGGCCUGUUAAGUCGAACGUGAAAUCCCCGGGCUCAACCCGGGAACUGCGUCCGAUACUGGCAGGCUUGAAUCCGGGAGAGGGAUGCGGAAUUCCAGGUGUAGCGGUCGAAAUGCGUAGAGAUCCGGAAGAACACCGGUGGCGAAGGCGGCGAU
rnacentral:rRNA from 1 species